rnacentral:rRNA from 1 species
GAUGAACGCUGGCGGCGUGCCUAAUACAUGCAAGUCGAGCGAACGGACGAGAAGCUUGCUUCUCUGAUGUUAGCGGCGGACGGGUGAGUAACACGUGGAUAACCUACCUAUAAGACUGGGAUAACUUCGGGAAACCGGAGCUAAUACCGGAUAAUAUUUUGAACCGCAUGGUUCAAAAGUAAGAGACGGUCUUGCUGUCACUUAUAGAUGGAUCCGCGCUGCAUUAGCUAGUUGGUAAGGUAACGGCUUACCAAGGCAACGAUGCAUAGCCGACCUGAGAGGGUGAUCGGCCACACUGGAACUGAGACACGGUCCAGACUCCUACGGGAGGCAGCAGUAGGGAAUCUUCCGCAAUGGGCGAAAGCCUGACGGAGCAACGCCGCGUGAGUGAUGAAGGUCUUCGGAUCGUAAAACUCUGUUAUUAGGGAAGAAUAUAUGUGUAAGUAACUGUGCACAUCUUGACGGUACCUAAUCAGAAAGCCACGGCUAACUACGUGCCAGCAGCCGCGGUAAUACGUAGGUGGCAAGCGUUAUCCGGAAUUAUUGGGCGUAAAGCGCGCGUAGGCGGUUUUUUAAGUCUGAUGUGAAAGCCCACGGCUCAACCGUGGAGGGUCAUUGGAAACCGGAAAACUUGAGUGCAGAAGAGGAAAGUGGAAUUCCAUGUGUAGCGGUGAAAUGCGCAGAGAUAUGGAGGAACACCAGUGGCGAAGGCGACUUUCUGGUCUGUAACUGACGCUGAUGUGCGAAAGCGUGGGGAUCAAACAGGAUUAGAUACCCUGGUAGUCCACGCCGUAAACGAUGAGUGCUAAGUGUUAGGGGGUUUCCGCCCCUUAGUGCUGCAGCUAACGCAUUAAGCACUCCGCCUGGGGAGUACGACCGCAAGGUUGAAACUCAAAGGAAUUGACGGGGACCCGCACAAGCGGUGGAGCAUGUGGUUUAAUUCGAAGCAACGCGAAGAACCUUACCAAAUCUUGACAUCCUUUGACAACUCUAGAGAUAGAGCCUUCCCCUUCGGGGGACAAAGUGACAGGUGGUGCAUGGUUGUCGUCAGCUCGUGUCGUGAGAUGUUGGGUUAAGUCCCGCAACGAGCGCAACCCUUAAGCUUAGUUGCCAUCAUUAAGUUGGGCACUCUAAGUUGACUGCCGGUGACAAACCGGAGGAAGGUGGGGAUGACGUCAAAUCAUCAUGCCCCUUAUGAUUUGGGCUACACACGUGCUACAAUGGACAAUACAAAGGGCAGCGAAACCGCGAGGUCAAGCAAAUCCCAUAAAGUUGUUCUCAGUUCGGAUUGUAGUCUGCAACUCGACUACAUGAAGCUGGAAUCGCUAGUAAUCGUAGAUCAGCAUGCUACGGUGAAUACGUUCCCGGGUCU